GCCCCCGUAGCUCAGAGGAUAGAGCGAGGGUUUCCUAAACCCUGCGUCGGCGGUUCAAAUCCGUCCGGGGGUACCU
rnacentral:tRNA from 1 species